UAUUUUUUUUUCAUUGUACAUUUGAGAAAUUUUAAGCAUAAUGACUUUCAUUUUAAUGAAAGAUCUUGUAAUAAAAGUUAUAAGGAAUAGCAAAGGUAUUUUUGGUGCAGGUAUAUUAUUAUAUGGCAGAAAUAUAAACUAUUUAAAGUAGUGUUGUUUCAUGGUUUCCAAAAUUGAGGGGAGGAGGAUUUUAUUAUAGUUUGCGAAGGUCAUUAAUUUUUUCCUUUUUGAUUAGACACAUAUUUAGCAUUUAGUAACUCAUGUUGGAUUUACAUUGAUUCUCUCCAUUUGAGGGAGCUUGUACGCAAAAACAUUGUUUGUGAAAAUUAAGCUUAUGUAGUACUCAAUUUAGAGGCAAGUGACUAUGUUUGAAAUUAUAUAUUAAGUUGAUCAUUUUGUCAUUCCAUGGCUUAUUCACUGUAAGAUCAUUUAAAGAUAGUAAAAAUGUCAUUGCAUGUUUUUAGAUAUAUUUAUAGAUAUUUGUUACAAUAUAAUGAAUGAUAUAUAUUACAUGGUUUAGUAUUAUCUAUAUAAUUAUGUGCCUUCUUUUAUACAAAGGGGGUUGAACUAGGUACAAUUUAAUGGGUUUUUUUUUAUCUUUUUGAAAUAGAAUUUACAUUAUAUAUACUAUGACUUUGUUAAAAAAAUAUGUAGUUUUCACAAAAUAUCUACAAUAUACUAUUUCUCUCAGGUUUGUUUUUCCCUGAAGCAAGUUUCAUAUAAAUUAUUCAUGUUAUUUUAUCCAUUUUUAUAUAUUUUCUACUUAAAAAGUAAAUUUGUAGGUACAUGUUUUUGAAUAGAAUUUUAAAAUAUUCUAGUUGUAUAUUAGGUCAUAUCAUCAUUGUUUUGUUUGAGAUUUUGUUUAGUUUACAAAAAUAAUCAUAGCCGGAAUUGUUAUAAAAAUAAAAAUAAAAUGACUAAUAUGUACCUGUACAUAAGUAUGUACAUGUAAAUUGUUUAUAGAGCUGCAUGUUUACCAGUAAUUAGUAAGAAAUAAAAUAGAAAAUCUGUACCACCUCCAGAAGUACCUGUAAAUGUUAAAUAAAGAGACAAAAUU
rnacentral:sRNA from 1 species